rnacentral:rRNA from 1 species
CCUUAGAGUUUGAUCCUGGCUCAGAUUGAACGCUGGCGGCAGGCCUAACACAUGCAAGUCGAGCGGAAACGAGUUAUCUGAACCUUCGGGGAACGAUAACGGCGUCGAGCGGCGGACGGGUGAGUAAUGCCUAGGAAAUUGCCCUGAUGUGGGGGAUAACCAUUGGAAACGAUGGCUAAUACCGCAUAACGCCUACGGGCCAAAGAGGGGGACCUUCGGGCCUCUCGCGUCAGGAUAUGCCUAGGUGGGAUUAGCUAGUUGGUGAGGUAAGGGCUCACCAAGGCGACGAUCCCUAGCUGGUCUGAGAGGAUGAUCAGCCACACUGGAACUGAGACACGGUCCAGACUCCUACGGGAGGCAGCAGUGGGGAAUAUUGCACAAUGGGCGCAAGCCUGAUGCAGCCAUGCCGCGUGUGUGAAGAAGGCCUUCGGGUUGUAAAGCACUUUCAGUC